GCACUUCAAACUCCAGCAAGGAUUGCCAAACCGUCGAAGCUGGUACCUCCCCCUCGACCUGUGCCAGAAGCUGCUGUGCCAGCCACUCUGGAGGGCAGCGUCUUUGUGCAUUCAAGCAAGUUUGCUCAACCGGAGGGGGAUGACAAGACUCUGUGUGUUGAUGAGUGGCCGUUUCUUCAAACAGAGUUUUGUGAGGUAAAGGAAUGGGGGAAAAAGAGAGCAUCUUGUAAUAAUUUAAUAUUUGGGUUUUGUUGUUAAAUUUGUUUGUAGCGCCACAAAAUACAGGCGUGCACAACAAUAUGUUUGUUACUGUUUUAAAUAAACUACAUUAGCAGUAAGUUCUUUGAACUGCCCACUUUUCAAUUUUCAUACAAUUGUAUCUCAUGAUAAUUUUGCUCCCUUACCUCAUUGUAGAAGGUGAACAAGCCAACUGCUCGGGUUGUCUCUGGACAGAGAAAACAAGAGGAGCCGACACCUUGGGGUCCAAAAGUUGUGAUGGCCCAGGCUGAUAAACCAACAGCCAAUGAGACCAGCUUCUUGGGAUGUUCAACCAAGAUGACACACAUUGAGGACCAUGAGCCGUUUGAACCAGCACCUGAGGUCACUGCGAGCAGUCAGCAGGUAUGUAAUUACUAGUGGAAAAAUGGUAUACCAACGGGAAAAGCCACACACAGCUUAAGAGACCCAUUUUGUUUUCAUGUGUUUAUUCUUUUAAAACAUUGAUAUGGUGUAAGUGUGCAGUUCUGACUAAUUUGCCUAUACUAUGUACAUUUUCAAAUUACUUACUGGGAACCAACAUGCUUUUAAAAACACUGAAUUGUCAUUUCAGCAGAGCCCGCCUGAGGACAAUGGCCAGCUUGAAGAUCCUCAUGUAACACUUGGCAAUCAGAAGGCACCCUGUGAUUUUGCACCUGCCAGAGCUGCUACAUCAAGUCAUGUGACUUAUGACAACCCUGGGUGUCUUCAAGGAUCGUUUGACCAGAGCAGCCACAUAUUCGGGGAAAAUGCAGGUAAGCAGUGUGCUACAAAUGGCAUAGCGGCGAUUAUGACCCACACCACCCAUAGCGUUCUCAAAUGGAAAAAAAAGAACAUUCAUCAUAUUCUAAAACAAGGUAAUGGCUUGUACACAUCUAUGCUAGAAAAUAACGAAAUCAGUGCAGCCAAAACCAGUGGGCAUAUUUUCAUUUCCGAGUUACCCAGACACUGCAAAUUAAACAAUAAAUUAUUUAGUUUGGAAUAUUUUGAUACACUCACUGGAAGUCUUGAUCAAAAGCAUGAUUAUGACGCUUCUUUGCAAAACAUAGCCAUGCCUUUAGAUGAGGCUAUUCAGAAGACACUGCUGCAGACAGACACAUGCUUGCUCAACAUCCAAGGAAGUGUCUGUGCCGUUUUCAAGGUCGAAACUGCUUUUGCAGUUUUCGAUCCUCAUUCUCGUAGUACUUGGGGUUCGGUUGCACCGGAUGGAACCAGCAUAGUAGCGCACUAUGCUACUGUGUAUGAGUUAUAUGACCAUAUUGAGAACCUUGUCAAUUCCUUAUAUCAAAAUCAUCCACAUGCUUUUUAUAUCCCAAACAAGGUGUUUGAAGUCACUGGUGUGAAAGCUGUUGAGGUAAACUCACCAUUUACUGCUUUAAUUGCACAGCCUGAAGCCAGCACUUCAACACAUGACGGUACUUUGGACACUGACAGUGACUCUGAUCUCUGUGUCCUUUCGGUAACGGAUAGAAAUUCCCUUGCAGUAAACGCGUCUUUUUCCCUUGAAACUUGUGUCACUUCUACAUGUGACACAACUGUAAACAUUGACAGUGAUCCUCCAAUUCACACAGAGGGUGCAUCAGAUGUCUGUUUCAUUUCUGUAACAGAUAGCCCCAAUAUAAUAUUUGCUGGAUUGACAUUAAGGGAAAAAAACAGGAUCUGCAACAAACUGAAUGUCGUACCAAGUUUAGAUCAAAAUAUUGUUGAACAAACCUUCGAUAUGGCACAGCCUGAGCCAUGCCAAACAACAUCCAUUGAAGGUGACGGUAAUUGUUUCUUUCGUUCUCUUUCGUCUGUAUUGAGUGGUUGCGAGUCACAUCACAAGGCCUUUCGAAAGGCUGUAGUGAAUCACAUCUCAAAUAAUCCACUUAAUUACAUUACUUGUCUAAGACGGCAAUUUGAUUCUGUGGAGCAAUAUCUCAGGGACUCAAAAAUGAAAUAUGUUGGAUCUUGGGCAACAGAGUUGGAAAUACAAGCUUCUGCAGAUUUGCUCUGUGUUGAUAUUUACACAUACAGUCAACAGAAAUGGAUUACGUUUACGGCGAACAUUGAGCCGAUUUCAAGAAAGGCUAUAUAUCUGAAUCACUGCAAUGAAUGCCAUUAUGAACCAAUUGCAUGUGUCAAAGAAAAAACCUCUCUUACAUGCUUUAGUUUAACUAGCUUCUGUGAAAUCUCGCACAAAAGGUCCAAUGCAGACCUUGUUUCACCACGUAAAAAAUGUAGUAAAAAAGUAAAAGAUCUCAGAAAAAAGAGAACAUAUGCUGAAGUCGAAGAAUAUAGGCAAGUUACAAAGCUAAAAACACAACAAAGAUAUAAUUGUGAUGAACAGUAUCAAGCUAAUCAAAAAGCUAGCAGUAUUGAAAAAUAUGCUAAUAAUGAACCAUUCAAAGAACGAGUAAAAAACAGCAGUAUUGACAAAUAUGCUAAUAAUGAACCGUUCAAAGAACAACUAAAAAACAGCAGUAUCGAAAAAUAUGCUAAUAAUGAACCAUUCAAACAACAGGUAAUAAACAGCAGUAUCGAAAAAUAUGCAAACAAUCCUGCCCAUUGUAACCAGGUGAAACAAAGAAUUGUAAUCAAAUACAGAGAAGAUCCGGCUUAUAAACCCUCUUUAAUUGAAAAAAUCACUCAAAAGAGACUUAAUCUAACCCUCUUAAAACACAAUAUUGACUUUGUCAUUGAGCUCUUCCAAGAAGAGGUCAAACAUGGUCCAGAGCAUGUUUGUUGUUCAUGUCACCGAUUAUUGUUCCGAAAGCAAGUUAGAUUAUGUGACAUAACUUCAUAUGAAUCCAAGGCUUCAACUGUGUCAGCAAUUGCAAAACAAUGCAUUACUACAACAUAUCUCCAUCAAUGUGAUAUUGCAUGUUUAACGCCAUGCACACUAAAACAGACAGUUGCUGGGAAAUUGUGGAUAUGUUUCAGUUGCAACUCCAAGAUACUCAGUGGUAAGGUUCCCCAGGAGAGUGCUGUGAACAAUAUGGCAUUGGAUCCAAUUCCUGACGAAUUAGGCACACUGAACUCAUUAGAACAACACCUGUGCGCAUUGAAUAUUCCCUUUAUGCGACUUGUGGCAUUGCCGCGAGGUUCUCAGAAUUCUGUCCAUGGGCCGGUGACUUGCGUUCCAUCAAACAGCGAUGUAGUCACUUCGGUUCUCCCAAGGCUAGAAAAUCAAGAUUUAAUGAUCCGAAUAAAACUGAAAAGAAAACUUACUUAUAAGGGGCAUUAUCAGUAUCAAUAUGUGCACACUCAAAAAAUCCAAAAUGCGAUAGCAUGUUUAAAGGACAUGAAUAAAUGGUAUAAGGACAUAGACUUUAACGCAGAAUGGGAAAAUCCCUUGCCAGAAGAUGCAUGUUCUGUUUUGAAAGAAUGCAACCCAGUUAAUGACACUCCAUCUGCACCUGAAAGCAGUGACAUUACAACUCAAUCAGACCAGGUGUCGGAUGAUGAAGAAGCUGACCACAUAUAUGAAACUCAAACACACGGGUUACUCUUGGACACAUGUUUGCAACCAAUUGAUAUCGCACAAGAAAUAUUUGAUCAGCAUUUCGAAAGUGUUUUAUCAAUAGCUCCAGCUGAAGGCAACAGUCCUGUUAGGCUGCUGACAGAUAAGGGCAAUGAAGCAAAAUGUUUUCCUACUCUUUUCCCCAAAGGGACAGGUACAUUCCAUGAUGCACGGCCCCACAGGCUCACUCUCAGUAGAUACAUCAACACACGAAUCCUAAAUGCUGAUGGGAGGUUUAGCAGCAACUUGGACUACAUUUUCUAUGCUCAAUAUUUAUCUGAGGUCAAUCAGGUUGUUUCCAAGGUGUCCAUAGCACUGAGAAAAGGUUACCAUGCAGGGGAAUCAUUGGCUAUAACUUCCGCCAUGCUUUCAAACAAAGACUAUGUACAAAAUGUCUUAAAAACCGAUCUCGGUUACAAGUUCCUUCAACCGAUCCGAGGGACUCCAGUUUUUUGGCAAGGUGUACAGAAAAAUCUAUUUGCUAUGGUUCGUCAGCUUGGUGUCCCUACUUGGUUCUGUUCAUUUUCAUGUGCUGAUUUACGCUGGACUGAACUCAUCGAUGUUUUCAUGAGACUACAGAAAAUACAGGGAAAUGUCAACGACCUGGACUGGUCACAGAGGUGCAAUUUACUCAAAACUAAUCCGGUUACCGCGGCAAGAAUGUUCCAACACAGGUUUCAGACUUUCCUAAAUGACGUCAUCAAGUCACCAGCUAACCCCAUUGGUAAAGUUAUCGACACAUUUUUUAGAGUUGAAUUCCAACAACGCGGCUCACCCCAUACUCAUUGUCUGUUCUGGGUAGAAAAUGCACCGAAAAUAGGCAGAAACACAGACCAAGAAGUCACACAAUUUAUUGAUAAAUACAUCAGUUGUGAACUCCCGCCAGCAACCGACGCAUUGCAUGAAGUUGUUUCCAGCGUUCAAAAACACAGCUCCAAGCACUCAAAGAGUUGUAGGAAAAAAGGCACAACAUGCAGAUUUAACUUUCCACGUCCUCCAAGCAACCACACCUUUCUUUGUAGAAGUAAAACAGACGAGAACCAGGAGGUAACAGACGCUGAUCCGAUAGACGUCUCUAUAUUAGAAAUGCGAAAAGAAAAAGAGGUGGCUAAAAGUGUCAUGACAAGGGUCAAACAUGCUCUUUCAAGUCCAGACCUAACCUUCGACACUGGAUCAGCUAUUUGCUUCCGUUAA
ensembl:lncRNA